rnacentral:lncRNA from 1 species
CCGGCAGUAGUACCUACUUUUUAAAGUGUAAGCAAGGAAAGUUGGCCCGCACCUGUAGUCCCAUCUACCUGGGAGGCUGAGGUGGAAGAAUUGCUUGAGCCCAGUUGGUCGAGGCUGCAAUGAGCCUUGAUCACGCCACUGCACUCCAGCCUGGGCAACAGAACAAGACCCUGUCUCAAACAAAAAAGUGUAUGUAAGAAUAAAAAUUAAUAGAUUAGGCACAGGAUGGGUGUUUAAUUCUCGGCAAUCACCACUAAGUUUUCAUACUGAGGCUUAUUCAUUCCAUGGGCAAAACAUUGCGCUAUGUGUGGUGCCUGGGGUGGGCUCCAAAUUCCAGUCCUCUCCUCGCUUGCGAUAGCUGUGUGAUCCAUUCCUAAGUUUCCUUAUUUGUCCACAGAGCGUACACAGGGUUUUUAUGAAAACUAGAUCAGAUAAUCAGACACAGUUAAAAUAGCACGCGCUCAGUAAAAUUACAUAUUAGUGGAAGAGACAAGCCUUGAAUAAAUCGCCUUUCGGGGAGUAUGACCCCCUCCCCGAAACCCACUCAGGCGCUGCUCGCUCGCACGCCCACUGAGCUCGGAGCGGAGCCCGAGCCCUUUCCCAGCACACAGGGUUCAUUUCCAGACUGAAAGACAUCCCAGAGACAACUCCAGAGGCCAAGGCGGGUCGGCUUCCUGCGUGGGCCCAGCGCCGGGCACUGAAAGCGCCCUUUCUCCCCGCCGCAUUCCCGGUGUCGACUUACUAGCUGCAAGCCUCUGCCUGCCUUCCUGCGCGCCGUUCCCCGCUAGUCGCUGCUGCUGGCGCGCACUCGCCGGGUUUUUCCUCCCACGGCCUCGAGAUGGUGGUGAAUGUGGCACGGAGGAGCCGGGCCUUCCAACCCGGUGGGCCCGAGCUCCGAAAGGCCCCCUCGGCAGUGAGAGGGGCGGGAGCCCGCGGGGGCCGCGCCCUUCUCUCGCUUCGGACUGCGCAACGCUGCGCUCUGGGCUGACAGGCGGAUAAAACGGUCCCAUCAAGACUGAGAAAAAGCACACCAGCUAUUGGCACAGCGUGGGCAGUGGGGCCUACAGGAUGACUGACUUAGUCUACAGAGAUCCCGGCGUACUUAAGCAGAUGAAGACUCUUAAGAUGACAGAAGGUGAUUUUUCUGGUGAUCGAGGACUUCCGGGGUAAUGACAGUGAUGAAAUGCAGGGGACCUGGUUGCCCCCAAGUUUCCUGGCAGUGUGUGAUACUGAGGAGAUUCAUGUUACAUGUAAAGCUGUCCUCAUUUGUGACUAUGGACCUAUGGAGUUGGGACAAUCUCUAUGGGAAGCAGAAGGCAAGGACCCCGGUCAUUUUAGGUAGAAACAACAGCAUGCUAAUGCAAAAAAUUAUGCAGUGUGCUACUGAACUUCAGAGGUGAUCAAUAAAAGAAGAAUAAAAAGACUAAUAAAAGUAUAUUUGUGUUUGUAUUUUUUUGUAGAGACCGAACUGGUCUCUU